GAUGAACGCUAGCGGCAGCUUAAUACAUGCAAGUCGUGGGGCAGCAUGAGUAGCAAUACUUGAUGGCGACCGGCAAACGGGUGAGGAACACGUACACAACCUUCCUUCAAGCGGGAUAGCCCAGAGAAAUUUGGAUUAAUACCCCAUAAUAUAUUUGAUAAGGCAUCUUAUUAAUAUUAAAGCUUUCGGCACUUGAUGAUGGGUGUGCGGCUGAUUAGAUAGUUGGCGGGUAACGGCCCACCAAGUCUACGAUCAGUAGCUGAUGUGAGAGCAUGAUCAGCCACACGGGCACUGAGACACGGGCCCGACUCCUACGGGAGGCAGCAGUAAGGAUAUUGGACAAUGGACGAAAGUC
rnacentral:rRNA from 1 species